rfam:Idiomarina sp. A28L contig00009, whole genome shotgun sequence.
GCCGGCAUAGCUCAGCUGGUAGAGCAACUGACUUGUAAUCAGUAGGUCGGGAGUUCGACUCUCUCUGCCGGCA